rnacentral:rRNA from 1 species
GAUGAACGCUAGCGGCAGGCUUAAUACAUGCAAGUCGUAGGGCACUUGUUUUUUACCAAUAGCGUUCAUUGCCAGCUAAAAACUUGAGCGGAGAACGUGCGCGACUUACGCUGACAACCUGGCCAACACAGGGGGAUACGGCUUAGUAACCCGUGCUAAAACCGAAUAACCAUACUUAACUCUUAGUAACCCGGUAAAAGGUGGCUGGCCUGCGGCUUUUUAGGUGGUCGGCUGAGGUAAAGGCUCACCAAGGCUUCGAUGAGUAACUAGUCUGUGAGGACGACCAGUCACACGGGAACUGAGGCACGAGCCCGACCGCGACGGGAGGCAGCAGUAAGGAAUAUUGGGCAAGGGAGGCAACUCUGACCCAGCCAUGCCGCGUGGAGGAUGAAGGCCCUCUGGGUUGUAAACUUCUUUUAUAGGGGACGAAACCGGUGUAUUCUUACGCAGUUGACGGUACCCUAGGAAUAAGCACCGGCUAACUCCGUG